UGGGGAAUUUUGGACAAUGGGCGAAAGCCUGAUCCAGCAAUGCCGCGUGUGUGAAGAAGGCCUUCGGGUUGUAAAGCACUUUUGUCCGGAAAGAAAUCCUUGGCUCUAAUACAGUCGGGGGAUGACGGUACCGGAAGAAUAAGCACCGGCUAACUACGUGCCAGCAGCCGCGGUAAUACGUAGGGUGCAAGCGUUAAUCGGAAUUACUGGGCGUAAAGCGUGCGCAGGCGGUUUGCUAAGACCGAUGUGAAAUCCCCGGGCUCAACCUGGGAACUGCAUUGGUGACUGGCAGGCUAGAGUAUGGCAGAGGGGGGUAGAAUUCCACGUGUAGCAGUGAAAUGCGUAGAGAUGUGGAGGAAUACCGAUGGCGAAGGCAGCCCCCUGGGCCAAUACUGACGCUCAUGCACGAAAGCGUGGGGAGCAAACAGGAUUAGAUACCCUGGUAGUCCACGCCCUAAACGAUGUCACUAGUUGUUGGGGAUUCAUUUCUUAGUAACGUAGCUAACGCGUGAAGUUGACCGCCUGGGGAGUACGGUCGCAAGAUUAAAACUUAAAGGAAUUG
rnacentral:rRNA from 1 species